AGCUUUGCGCAGUGGCAGAAUUCUAGCCAGUGAGGUUUAUCUGAGAUGCAAUUAUUGUUAAUUGAAAGAUCUUUCAUUUUAUCCAUGUUGGUACAGAUGAUAGGAUAUCCAUUUGUUGUUGUUGGUAAAUG
rnacentral:snRNA from 1 species